CUACGGGAGGCAGCAGUGGGGAAUAUUGGACAAUGGGGGCAACCCUGAUCCAGCAAUGCCGCGUGUGUGAAGAAGGUCUUCGGAUUGUAAAGCACUUUCACUAGGGAAGAUGAUGACGGUACCUAGAGAAGAAGCCCCGGCUAACUUCGUGCCAGCAGCCGCGGUAAUACGAAGGGGGCUAGCGUUGCUCGGAAUGACUGGGCGUAAAGGGCGCGUAGGCUGUUUGUACAGUCAGAUGUGAAAUCCCCGGGCUUAACCUGGGAACUGCAUUUGAUACGUGCAGACUAGAGUCCGAGAGAGGGUUGUGGAAUUCCCAGUGUAGAGGUGAAAUUCGUAGAUAUUGGGAAGAACACCGGUUGCGAAGGCGGCAACCUGGCUCGGAACUGACGCUGAGGCGCGAAAGCGUGGGGAGCGAACAGGAUUAGAUACCCUGGUAGUCCACGCUGUAAACGAUGUGUGCUGGAUGUUGGGUGAUUUUAUCAUUCAGUGUCGGAGCUAACGCGUUAAGCACACCGCCUGGGGAGUACNGCCCGCAAGNUUAAACUCAAAGGAAUUGACGGGGGCCCGCACAAGCGGUG
rnacentral:rRNA from 1 species